rnacentral:lncRNA from 7 species
GCCCUCUUUUUUUUUUCCUCAUUGGCCACAGAACCAUCUGCUGGUGUCACCACUCCUGGUCCCUUGGAAAUGGCUUGCAGAGCAUGAGGUCCAUCCUGGCUGAGGGCUGAAAUCUGCUGCUUGAGAGUCUCUUCAGAAGUAGAGAGAUUCUGAUACUUCUGUGUUGCUCGGACCCUAAAAUCCCAGAUCCUUAAAUCCUGCUUUUUAAGGUUCCCACUUCAGGAACACAUCUUGCAGGGUAGGGCUGUUGGCCACCAGGGUGCUGUGAAGAGUGGGUACCUGGACUGGAGACAAAAGGCUGCUGUAGAAGAGGUGGCUGAACAGAGCAUCCAAGCUGGCAUUUUUGGUGAGGAAGAAACUGGGAUACAGUAAGGAAGAAUUAAAUGAAAAAAAGAAGGCAUGCAAGCAUCUGGAAAGGGAGGUUAAGGGCCAUCUGGACACAGUCCUGUCCCUCACACAAGCUGUUGUCCAAGGAUUGCUCUGGCAGCAGGACUAGCUGGCAUGUCUGGGAGUCUCCAUGCUCAUGGCCAGGAGGGCAGAUGGCACUGGAUUCACUACAGUGGCUUUGCAGCACCUGGUGCCACCAUCUGGGGGGGGUGGCGUCCAUCAGAGCCAGGUGAGACUUGCCCUGGGCACUGCAGUGCCCAGCAGAGUAGUGCAGGGCUGCUCUGCCACAGUGACCCAGCAGGAUCCCAGACACCUUCAGUAUCACUGGUGCAGAUAUUUGGGGAUUGGUAUGCUCCUUUCCAGCUGGCCUUGUGGUGUUGGGCCUCACCAAAGGGCUGCCUGAAGUGGUUGGUGAAGGAGAACAGUGGAGCUCAGCUGACAUCACUUCAGCAAUGUGUUUAUAGUGACAGAUUCUUCAGCCCACUGCCCUUGGUGUUCAAUAAAUGGGUAUGGAGAAGAGUCACUCAAAGCGUUGGUCACUCUGCUCAUGCACACCUACACAUCAGGGAUUGUUUUGUUCAAGGAACAUUUUAUUAGUGCUUCAUCCCAGUAAUGAUGCUUGUUUUUUAUAGCAUCUGUGGUAUGGAAUUUGUCAAAAAAUAAAAUGCUUUUGUGUAAGAAAGUGAUGCUGUGUG